rnacentral:rRNA from 1 species
UACGUAGGUGGCAAGCGUUGUCCGGAUUUAUUGGGUUUAAAGGGUGCGUAGGCGGCUUUGUAAGUCAGUGGUGAAAUAUGGCAGCUCAACUGCCAAGGUGCCAUUGAUACUGCGGAGCUUGAGUACAGAUGAGGUAGGCGGAAUUGACGGUGUAGCGGUGAAAUGCUUAGAUAUCGUCAAGAACACCUAUAGCGAAGGCAGCUUACUAGGCUGUAACUGACGCUGAGGCACGAAAGUGUGGGGAUCAAACAGG